UAGCCAAAUAAUUUGAUAUCAAACUUAUUGGUUGAUUAGAUAUUAUUAGUUUUGCCAUUAUGAUGGUAGAAAGCCUAAAUUACCAUCCCGGAAUUAAGACCCCUUGUGCCAUUUCAAAUGACAAAAGCAAGUUUAAAUCGAAACUUGCGUUCAAAUAGCGGGUGCCCUGUACAUUAUUAUGCAAUACAGGUGAGCAUUUCGGUGAGAGGUGUUCAGGUAGGACCAAGGUCAGUAGAAGAUGGAGAAGACAGAGGUUCUUGAGAGGGAACGCACUUUCCAAUGAGGAAGUGAGAGGCUUAUUGCAGCUGUCCAAAGGUCUGAACAAGUCUUCAACAAGUAAGACGACUGGGCAGUGGCCCCCAACUGCUGUUUACCGGGUGAUUGGAUGCGUCGCUGAUCAAAGACAUCAGAUUCAUGUUGGACAUCGCCUGCGCCCAUGCCAAGAUUGUCUCGCUUGUUGAAGUUUGUCUUGUAGUUUAUUUACAGGGUUGACAUUUGUUAUGAAAUGUAAUCUUUGCCUUGGAUAGUAAUAUUCUGCAUAAAAUGUGUAUAAAAAUAAUUGUUGUACGCAGCAAGAAUUUUUAACGAAACUUCUGAUCAGAGAAAAAGAAAGAAAUGAAUGGCGUCGACCCUGCAUGUCGCUGAUUAUACAUUAUAGAUUUGUUUCUAAAUCGUGGUACAGUACUCUAUUCGCUCACAUCGUUUCAAGGCAUUUUAUUUAUUAUGUAUAUUUAUUAUUGUGUCGGAAGGAAGUACCCAUCAAUUCUAAAA